rnacentral:rRNA from 1 species
CACGUAGGGCGCAAGCGUUGUCCGGAAUUAUUGGGCGUAAAGAGCUCGUAGGCGGUCUGUUGCGUCCGCUGUGAAAACUCGGGGCUUAACCCCGAGCCUGCAGUGGAUACGGGCAGACUAGAGGUAGGUAGGGGAGAAUGGAAUUCCCGGUGUAGCGGUGAAAUGCGCAGAUAUCAGGAAGAACACCCGUGGCGAAGGCGGCUCUCUGGGACGGUACUGACGCUGAGACGCGAAAAGCGUGGGGAGCAAACAGG